rnacentral:misc_RNA from 1 species
GAUGAAGAACGUAGCGAAAUGCGAUACUUGGUGUGAAUUGCAGAAUCCCGUGAACCAUCGAGUCUUUGAACGCAAGUUGCGCCUCAAGCCAUUAGGUUGAGGGCACGUCUGCCUGGGCGUCACAUAUCGUUGCCUGAUGCCAGUUUCCUCGUGAUGGGUGACUGUGCAGGGCGAAUGAUGGCUUCCCGUGAGCAUUGUUGCCUCAUGGUUGGUUGAAAAUUGAGUCCUUGGUAGGGAGCGCCGUGAUAGAUGGUGGUUGAGUGACGAACGAGACCCAAUCAUGUGAGACCCCUACCGAAUUUGGCCUUCAUGACCCACAUGCGUCUUUGGAACGCUCAUGACGAGACCUCAGGUCAGGCGGGGCUACCCGCUGAGUUUAAGAAUAUCAAUAAGCGGAGGA